AUGAUUGUGCCAGUCAAGGAUGGAACGACCAAGGAUACAUGGAUCUUCUUGAAGCCAUUAACUGCUGACUUGUGGUUUGGAAGCAUUGUAUUCUUCAUAUUCACAGGGGCUGCCAUCUGGCUAUUGGAGCGACGAAUCGAUAACGCUGAACUGACUGGUUCCAUUUCCCGCCAGCUUGGAAUAGCAAUAUAUUUCCGCUUCUUUGUUGAUAAGGAGAGGGUGGAAAGUAUUUUGUCUAGAUUGGUUAUCAUUGUAUGGGUUUUUGUUCUCCUCGUUAUUACAUCAAGUUAUACAGCCAAUUUAUCAUCAAUGCUUACUGUGCAACAGCUUCAACCCACAGUAACUGAUGUCCAUGAACUCCUUAAGAAAUGGGAAUAUGUAGGGUACAAAAAUGGCUCUUUCUUAGGGGACCUAUUAGAACAAAUUGGUUUUGACAGAAGAAAGAUCAAGGCAUACAGUAAUCCAGACGAUUUUGAUGAUGCACUCUGUAAAGGGAGCAAAAAUGGUGGUAUUGCUGCCGUCAUAGAUGAAGUUCCAUACAUCAAAAUAUUCCUCUCUAAGCAUUGCAAAGGUUAUACAAUGGUCGGACCAAUUUACAAGUCUGAAGGUUUUGGCUUUGUAAGUUAG
rnacentral:rRNA from 1 species